UUCAUCAGUAUUAUUGCUUUUCCUUUGUGCAGUUGAGAGAGUUCCUAAAAAGCCCACAGUGGCAAAGCAUACAGAAAAUGCGUGCAUCUACUGGUGGAGCCUGUCACCCUCCUGACAAGGAGGGUCUCCACUGAACUGCAGGGGGUGAAGGAGCUGAGGGCAUUGAGGGAAGCCAAGGAACAACGAGGCGCCAAAGUGGAGGAGCUGGAGAGGAGCUUGAUGGGUGAGUGAGGACAAG